CGUGAGGGAUGACGGCCUUCGGGUUGUAAACCUCUUUUGGUAGGGAAGAAGCCUUCGGGUGACGGUACCUGCAGAAAAAGCGCCGGCUAACUACGUGCCAGCAGCCGCGGUAAUACGUAGGGCGCAAGCGUUAUCCGGAAUUAUUGGGCGUAAAGAGCUCGUAGGCGGUCUGUCGCGUCUGCUGUGAAAUUCCGAGGCUCAACCUCGGGCUUGCAGUGGGUACGGGCAGACUAGAGUGCGGUAGGGGAGAUUGGAAUUCCUGGUGUAGCGGUGGAAUGCGCAGAUAUCAGGAGGAACACCGAUGGCGAAGGCAGAUCUCUGGGCCGUUACUGACGCUGAGGAGCGAAAGGGUGGGGAGCAAACAGGCUUAGAUACCCUGGUAGUCCACCCCGUAAACGUUGGGAACUAGUUGUGGGGUCCUUUCCACGGAUUCCGUGACGUAGCUAACGCAUUAAGUUCCCCGCCUGGGGAGUACGGCCGCAAGGCUAAAACUCAAAGGAAUUGACGGGGACCCGCACAAGCGGCGGAGCAUGCGGAUUAAUUCGAUGCAACGCGAAGAACCUUACCAAGGCUUGACAUACACCAGAACGGGCCAGAAAUGGUCAACUCUUUGGACACUGGUGAACAGGUGGUGCAUGGUUGUCGUCAGCUCGUGUCGUGAGAUGUUGGGUUAAGUCCCGCAACGAGCGCAACCCUCGUUCUAUGUUGCCAGCACGUUAUGGUGGGAACUCAUGGGAUACUGCCGGGGUCAACUCGGAGGAAGGUGGGGAUGACGUCAAAUCAUCAUGCCCCUUAUGUCUUGGGCUUCACGCAUGCUACAAUGGCCGGUA
rnacentral:rRNA from 1 species